rnacentral:lncRNA from 1 species
CUAAUCCACCAAUCGUGAGGCAUUUUUUAAACAGCACACAGGCAAAGCUAAGGGAAAAUCCUUUAGUUUUGAUCAGAAACCCAGAGACAGGACAAAUAGAGGGUCCUUUACAACUAAUCACUUGGGGCAACGGUUUCGCUUGUGUUUCCACAGAUCGAGGUCUGAAGUGGGUGUCUGCAUGACACGUAAAGCCAUUCCGAACGCGAGAACAGGAGAACGCUGAUCCGAGAAACAGAGAUGAGUACUCAGGCAGAAGUCAAGACAGACUGCAAAAGACGACUCGGAAGAGAAAUAAAAAGAACUAAAGACUUUGGGGAUUUCUCUUUGGGGUCUUGAGUGAAAACAUAACAAUGAUUUCGCACGAAAGUGAGGUCAUGAGCUUCACGAUGCUCAGGUGCAUCAUUCUUUCAUUCAUUGCAAUAGGUAAUGGGGAAAAUUUACCUAUUAAUCAACCAAAACAAAAUGUAUGGGAGGCUUUAGCUCAAGCAGCGAAUUUGGAUAGUAUUUGCCUGACACAUUCGAGGACAGGGAGACCAUUUUCAGUAUGCAUGGUUGGAUUGCCAGUGGACGAAUGGCCAAUUCCAGGGCACUCCGCAGUUAACAUCUCGCAGGUCAUUAAAGAUCCUGUGAAGGGGUGGUGUGCUUGGACACAUCUUCUUCCUGUGGCUUCUACAGAACCUCAGGAAUUGGAGAUUUUUGGGUCCUUGACAAUGGAGCUCUGCAUGCAGUUUGAAACUCCAAAUGUCACAAAGGCAAACAAAACUAUCGAUGUGACUCCCAAUCAUGAAUUCUAUAAAAAUGCAUCAGCUUGGUGUAAAUACAGAGAGAAAACUGCCAGAGGAUCAAUCCAAGUCCCAGUGCAAUUGCCACGGGGUUUGUUUCUAAUUUGCGGGGACAGAAUUUGGCACGGCAUUCCUGCUAAUGCCAGGGGAGGUCCAUGCAGCAUUGGGAAAAUUUCAGUGUUGUUGCCAGAUUUGAAAUCGCUAAGAGAGAAAAAGCACAAAGAAAAAAGAUCAUUGGAACAUAUUGCGGCAGAUUGCAACGACAAAAUAUAUACUUGGGACAAGGC